rnacentral:rRNA from 1 species
GACGAACGCUGGCGGCGUGCUUAACACAUGCAAGUCGAACGGAAAGGCCCUGCUUUUGUGGGGUGCUCGAGUGGCGAACGGGUGAGUAACACGUGAGUAACCUGCCCUUGACUUUGGGAUAACUUCAGGAAACUGGGGCUAAUACCGGAUAGGAGCUCCUGCUGCAUGGUGGGGGUUGGAAAGUUUCGGCGGUUGGGGAUGGACUCGCGGCUUAUCAGCUUGUUGGUGGGGUAGUGGCUUACCAAGGCUUUGACGGGUAGCCGGCCUGAGAGGGUGACCGGCCACAUUGGGACUGAGAUACGGCCCAGACUCCUACGGGAGGCAACAGUGGGGAAUAUUGCACAAUGGGCGGAAGCAUGAUGCAGCAACGCCGCGUGCGGGAUGACGGCCUUCGGGUUGUAAACCGCUUUCGCCUGUGACGAAGCGUGAGUGACGGUAAUGGGUAAAGAAGCACCGGCUAACUACGUG